ACGGUCGUCGGACAGGUUCUCCAGGGUGGGGCGGGCCAGAAUCCCGCCCGCCAGACCGCCGUGGGUGCGGGUGUCCCGAUGACCGUCCC
rnacentral:tRNA from 1 species